rnacentral:rRNA from 1 species
UACGGGGGGAGCAAGCGUUGUUCGGAUUUACUGGGCGUAAAGGGCGCGUAGGCGGUCAGCACAAGUCAAUUGUGAAAUCUCCGGGCUUAACUCGGAAAGGUCAACUGAAACUGUGCGACUAGAGUGCGGAAGGGGCAACUGGAAUUCUUGGUGUAGCGGUGAAAUGCGUAGAUAUCAAGAGGAACACCUGCGGCGAAGGCGGGUUGCUGGGCCGACACUGACGCUGAAGCGCGAAAGCCAGGGGAGCGAACGGG